rnacentral:rRNA from 1 species
AUGGACGAGCUCGCCAUCGACUUGCCCGGCCCGCCGCCGCCGCCGCCGCCGCUUCAUCUCCCGCUUCCCCCGGACGACCUUCUUCUGGAGAUCCUCCUACGCUUCCCUCCUGAGCCGAUCUACCUCUUCCGCGCCUCCCUCGUCUCCAAGCACUGGCGCGUCCUCGUCCACGAUGUCGGCUUCCUCCGUCGCUUCCGCGAGUUCCACGGGGGCACGCCUCCUAUCCUCGGCUUCUUCAACUUUCCGGGGCCUCCGUUCUUCGUCCCCACCGGCGGCACCUUUGCCGUCUCCAAGGCUGCCAAGAUGUCCCACGACGACUGGUGGGCCCUGGACUGCCGCCACGGUCACGCCCUCCUGGAAAGCCGUCCCGCCGGGGAGCUCCUCGUGUGGGACCUUGUGACCGGGGACCAACGCUACCUGCCGCGGCUCGAGCAGGCCUAUCAGAAGGGCCUUGAGUACAAUGCGGCGGUUCUCUGCGCGGCUGACCACAACGACUACCAUUCGUGUCCGUUCCUCGUGGCGCUCGUGUUCAGCAGCCGGGUUGAUUUCAUCACCUCCGCCUGCGUCUACUCGUCCGAGACCGGCGUAUGGGGUGACAUCACUUCGAUUCAUGUACCGAAUUCAUUAGUUGGGGCCAAUCCGACGGCUCUGGUUGGAAACACACUCUACUGGCUAUUGGGCAACAAUGGUAUCAUUGGGUUUGAUUUGGAUAAGUAUAGAUUUGAUUUAAUUGAGGAGGUGCCAUAUAGCUACAAGCAAGCUAUCAUCAUCAUGCCAACAGAAGAUGGAGUUCUUGGUUGUGCCGGAGUUGAUGGGUUCAAGCUCCAUCUGUGGUCAAGGGAAGCUAGGAUUCAUGGAGUGGAAUCAUGGACACGUUGCAGGAUCAUUGAUCUGGAAAAGUCCCUUGCGCCGGGAGUACCGGCACCCGCUGGCUAUGCUGAAAACGCUAAUGUGAUAUUCAUUGAUGUGUAUUCUAGCGUCUACAUGAUCCAUCUCAAGUCCAUGAAGAUCGAGGAGGUCACAGAGCAAAGGAACUGCAUAUACAUUUUUCCUUACACAAGUUUCUACUCUCCAGUGUAG